CGUCCCCGCCGUCUCUGCCGCUCCCUCUCUCUGCCCCUCGCCCGUGACAGCGAGGCUGGGCAGGAGCUUCGACCCUUCUGGGGGCUGCCCCCUUUUCUUGUUGCGGCAGAGUCCCUUUCGGGGGGGAUGUACAUGUGGAAAGGGAUGGAAGCAAGUGCUGGGCUGCUGUCCAGGGCAGUUAAGACUCUUUCUGUGCCUUCUUUGGGGGCCAGGAAAAAGGGGUGAAGACUCGGGGCUCUGGUGUCAUUUGGGGCACCCUAAGGUCCCUAGGAGAGGGAGGCACGCUGCGGCGGAGGAGCAGGUGGGUGGCGAAUGAGGGGGGUCAUGCCGGGUGCCGUCCCCCCGAGGGGGCUGUGUAGAAUACUACAUCCUGUCAAGUGCUUCGUUUUUAUAGGUAUUGGUAAAAAUAGGAAUUUGUCUCUAAAUUCAUUUGGAAAGAAAGCCAGAGCAGCCCCAGGUGUGAACUGUGAGGAUAAGGAGGGGCCGGCUCCUGCCGGCAGCUGUUUUAGGGGCUUUGCCUCAGCUGAUUUUACAGGGAGCUGCUGGAGAAGAGGAGUUUAUGGGUGGCUCCUGGGGCUGUCCUUGGAAGGACGGUGACAGCUUCGGACAGGGUCUGGGGGAUCACCUGGAUACGCACUUGGAUACCUGGAGCAUUGCUCAGAGGAGGUGCCGAGGGACAAACCUUUGUGCCAGGUAGCGGCAGCCAAACAGGUGAGCCCAUGUGCAUUUGUAGCGGGGACAUUUCUCCUUUCCCUUUUAAAUUUCAUCUUGCCAAUCCCUCCCCGGUGCUCCCAGAAAAAAAAAAAAAAAAAAAAAAAAAAAAAAAAAAAAAGUAUUUUGAGUAGGAAAGAAAUUCAAAUUGAGGGUAGCGACUUGUCUUCCAUUAUUGACCGUGUCUGAACUGGUGGGGGAUCCCCUUUCACGUGUGGUUUUGAGGGUAUUGAUUGAAGGAAAACCUGCCUUUUCCAGGAUGUUAGGGGUAUCCCAGGGGUGUCAGGGAAUCGACAAUACACAGCCCAUUGUUCUAUUUGUAGUUCACCUCUGCUUCUUAUAUAAUUUUUCUGCUGACAAAUCUUAUGCUUAGCUCGAAUCGCAGUUCUGCUGUUUCUGAGGCCUGCCUUUUGCAGCUUUCCCAAAACCCUCUGGUUUGAAAGAUUCCCACAACUUGAGGGAUUUCAUUUGAGGACAAGCCCUUCUUUUCUGCUCUUACAGGGGCUGAAACUGAAGGGGAGAACACAUUUAUUUGCCCUUGUUGAAGUGAGGCGAGCACCUGAGUGUGGCGGAAAUGCAGGAGAACGCGAAAGCAUCGGGGCAGAGCAGCCGCUGGAGGUGCCCGAGCCGUCUCCCCCUUGCCCGCAGGGCCGGAGUUGCCCACCGCCGGCAGCUGACAGCUACGCUGACAGCACGGGCGGCUCCGGCACACGCUUUGCCUCGCUGUGUUCCGGUGCCGUGCUGCUGCGGGAGGACGGGGCCAGCGCUCCAAAGGCCAGAGCAGAGCGCUGGCGAAUGGGAGGCGAGGAAGGCUUGGGCUAAGGAUGGAUUGCAACCGGGCUGCCUGUAAGUGCGCAGAGAGACCUUUGUCAUCCACGCUGCCAAAAGGAGCACCUGGUACACCCUAUAGGCGUGCCUUGUGUUUCACGUGUUUUCAUUUCCUGUUUGUGUCAUCCCAAAAAGCAGGGACGGAGCAAAUGGGACUGGUUCCCACUGUUGCUGGGUGAAGGCUUUUUACAGGCUGCUGUAUUGAUGUCAUCUUUUUUUCACCCCAAGUUUGGCUUUUCCCAUGCUUUUCCCGUAGCUGCUGCAUUGGGUGUCCCCAGGAGGGCUGGGUUCCUCAGCAGGGGUCUUAGGAGUUGCUAUGGAUUCUGAUUUUUCUGAAGCUGUAUGGAAGCGUGCUAGCGAAUCAGCUCUUUUCUCUCCUGAAAAGCUUUCCAUCUAUGUCCACCCGUGCGUCUCUGUGUUUUAAUCACGUAGCCGGACGCGCUGAGGUUCUUACUUUCUAAGCCAAAAGCUGAAGCAGAUGACCGUUUGCUUUGUGUGUGUGAGGAGUGGCAUUUGUGCUGGAGAGCUGCGGUUGGGAACAAAAGAUGGACUAAAGGUGCUCUGGGGACGGGCACGGGAGGAAACGCACAGAAAGGCAAGGCAGUGAUGAUUGCGGAGGAGAAAUGAGAGGUGGUUGCUUCCGAUCCGUGGGGACUUUCCUUGGGAGUGAUCGAUCAGAGAGCGUAUGGAAGUAGAGAGCAUCUUCUGGCUGCUUCUGUUCUGUAAACUUCUCCCUGGCUUCACAGGUCCGUGCUGGAGAGUGGGAGAAGGGUCCCUGCUGGCUGCCGUGUCCUGGGUGGGCACAGAGCUCUGACCUCGGCCAGAUGGGCUGGUUUCCGGGUGUUUUGAUCCUGACGUCGCCAAAGCCUCAGGUUUGCUGAAUUGGGGCUCCUACCUGUGUGACCCGUGAAAUGUCCCGGAAGCUGAUCGAUGUCUUCCUGCUCCCGCUGUGUUCAUUUGGGCUGUGCUUCAGGCUUCUCUCCCUGGGCCCUUGCCGUUGCCGUAUCUCUUGGAUGCCGUGCAGAACGGAAUCAGGCAGCCAAGCCUCAGAGGAGCACGUGUACAUAAGGGUAAAGAGAUUCCUUCUGUCACACCGGUAUUUGGACCUGAGGAAGGUACCAGGUUUUCUCCAGCUUUUCUACAGUUUUGAUUUUGAGUACAAAACAGCACGAGUGGAUCCUCAGAUUUCUUGGGGAAGGGCUGCGUGACAAACAUUGCUGUGAGCUCUAUGUCUACCAGAGGAUUUUCCGGGUCAUUCUUUCCUUUCUCAGCAGUCCUUUGUGUGACCAGGGCUCCCAGAGUCCUAUUCUGGAGAUACGACAGUGUGCUGCUGCCCGUGUCACCUCUAGAGCUGCCCAUGAGCCGAUAGAGGAUCACAGCCUCCUCUCGUGGGUCCUGCACGGCUUAGAGAAAAGGACCUGCUGCACAGGAAGUGGCACAGUAAUGGAUUUGAGCUGUCUAGAACGUUACUUCUCCUCCCCUUGCCUCUCCCUGACAAAAAAAAUCUCUUCUGCAAGCACAGAGUGCCCUGACAGGUUCAGGCAAGUGCACCAAAAGUGCCCUAGAAUAUGGUCCCCCGUAGGAGAUGGACCAGCUGCUGGUGAGGAUCUGCCUUUCAAAUGUGGUUUUCUUUUCUUUUUUUUCUUUUUGUUCUGUUUCAUUUUGUUUUUCAGGUUUCUGGAGAACCAGGUGAUAAAUAAAAUGAUUUCCUUACUCCAUCCUUUGUGGCUAAUAAAUUUAGGAGACAAGAGAGAAAACAGGAAUCGAUCCCAGAUGCUGCUGUUGAGAUGGGUAUAUGAUCUACCUGUAUAUAGAUAUAUGCGUAUCUCUGUACAUCUGUGUAGUGCUAAUAAUGGGAGUUUUUAUGAUACGUUGCUUUACUGUCUUCUAUUUUUAAUAAAGUGCGAUUUUAAGUUAUUAGGUAUAACAUUUUAUUCUGCUUAUUGGCUAAAGUAACAUUUUCUUGUAUUUUAUUGGUAUCAAGUCAUGUUAAUCAUUAAUUGGUAAGAGUUUAUAAUGAAUUAUUAAGGUGUGAAUAUUGUUCAUUAAGGUACGUCUUUUUUUUACUGUAGGUAUUUUCAUGUGUUCGUAUGGGUUUUUAUGUUAAUGAUUUUGGGUUUUUGUGUUAUGAAUAUAUUAGUAUUUUAUUAGGGUUUUUUUGGUUAGUUUACUUGUUUGGUGUGUAGAUCACUCCUGUUAAGUAUGUUUAUCUAUAUAUGUUUUAAAAUGUAAGUUAUAAAUCUACUUGUUAAGGAUUUUUGUAGAGUUCUAUGUAAAAAUUUAAAUCGGUAGGGGAGAUAAAAAGCAGUAAUUAUUAAUAAGAUGAGUAUUUUAGUUUUUAAUAAUGAUUUAAGUUAUUCAGCGAUGUUUUAAUUUUUGAAAAUAUUAUUUAGUUAUUUUUUAUGUGUGAUUGAUUAAUUUAAAAAAAAAAUUAGUAAUGUUUUUGUAAAUUGAUUUCUUGUGAUUUCAUCAAUUUAUAUAUUUUUAAAAAUGUUUUCUAUUUAUGAUUGUGUGUGAAUAAUAAAAAAUGAACAGUUGUUUUAUUUUGUAAGGUAGUAUGUUUAAAGAUGUUCAUAUUUGGCAGUAAUUUAUUUAACGUUAUACAUGUGUUAUUGUUUGAUUUGGUUGGUUAAUAAGUAAGUUCAUUUGAUGUGCUUCAAGUGUGAGUUGUAGUUAUUUUAGGUGUUAAAAGAGAUGUAGAACUAAUAGAAUUAGGUUGUUAAAAGGUUGUACGAUUUUGAUCCUGAGAAGUAAAUUUGUGUUGGAGUGAUUGGGUAUUUUUAGGUGGGUGUUCUUUUUUUGGGUUUUUUUUUUGUUUUUUUUUUUUUUUUUUUUUUUUUUUUUUUUUUUUUUUUUUUUUUUUUUUUUGUGUUUUGUUUUGUUUUUUUUUUUAUAUGUAUUAUUGUUAUGUUUGGUCUUAGUGGGUUAAUUGUUUUAAAUUGUAGGUUUGCUGUUUUGAGGUAACUUCUUUGUGGUUUGGUGUGGUUUGGGGGUUGUUUUGUAACUAAAUAUUGUACAAGUAUUUGUUUGUAAUGAUUUGAGUAAUUUUACUUUUGGUGGUUUACCUGUAAUUUGGGGUAUGAGUGUAUAAAUGUUAUUUGAAGAGUUUA